UUGGAGUGUUUUUUUUUGGUUGAAGCUGACUGGAAAGCGCUCAAAGGGGGUGCCGCACGUAUGUCUGCGAGCGCCGGCACAGACGGGGUCCAUACUUGUGUAGUUUAACUAACUUGUUACAAAUAACUACAAACUUGACAUUGGCUAAUCUUUGUAAAGCCAGAAGAGAGAAAAAAAAAGAGCAUCGCCAUAUUUUAAAUGAACAUUGAACUCUACAAAAUCUCCUACCCAGUCGGAAAUCAUACCCGCAUAUUUUCUUUAAAAAAACAAGUGAUUUUACUGUAGAGUUCAAUAGAGUUAAGCAAUAUUUUUUUCUUACAACAUAUUCCACCAUAGUGAGCUUGAUUUGUGAUCUGUGUAUAAGAUUUUUUGUAUCUCACUUGCCCACUCUCGAAAUAUCAUUCUGUGUUCGAUAGGCACAAGAGUUACAAAGCACCGAGCCAGUGGCUUUCACAUUUGAAACGCAUAGUAUAUGGGCUGAGUUAAAAACCCAAUGUUGCAGUGUAUCAACCUUUCUGCAGUUUUUUUUAAAAAGUGGUUAAAUGCAAAAAGUUUUAGACUUAUCACCAAAAAACGUGUGAAUUGUUAAAAAAGGAUGUUUUUAGUUUGACUCUAUGUACCAAAUUUUUUAGAAACAUUUGUUUUUAAAAAUUACCACGUUUUUUUGGUGAUAACUCAAAAACUACUUUUUGGAGUUAACAGCUUUUUAAC